AUUGAACGCUGGCGGCAUGCCUUACACAUGCAAGUCGAACGGCAGCACGGGAGCAAUCCUGGUGGCGAGUGGCGAACGGGUGAGUAAUACAUCGGAACAUGCCCAGUAGUGGGGGAUAGCCCGGCGAAAGCCGGAUUAAUACCGCAUACGACCUACGGGUGAAAGCGGGGGAUCGCAAGACCUCGCGCUAUUUGAGCGGCCGAUGUCAGAUUAGCUAGUUGGUGGGGUAAAAGCCUACCAAGGCGACGAUCUGUAGCUGGUCUGAGAGGACGACCAGCCACACUGGGACUGAGACACGGCCCAGACUCCUACGGGAGGCAGCAGUGGGGAAUUUUGGACAAUGGGCGCAAGCCUGAUCCAGCCAUGCCGCGUGCGGGAAGAAGGCCUUCGGGUUGUAAACCGCUUUUGUCAGGGAAGAAACGUUUCGAGCUACUAUCUCGAAGUAAUGACGGUACCUGAAGAAUAAGCACCGGCUAACUACGUGCCAGCCGCCGCGGUAA
rnacentral:rRNA from 1 species